CUUUCAUCUGAGGUCCAGGUCAGUCCAAGUAGAGAGAGAUUUCUGAAGGAAUCUCUUACAAGUUAUCAUUCAGUCUUUUUGAGGAAAUUCAUAUUGAACAACUUUGUUCUCUACAAUUAAAGAAGGAAAAAACCCUUUGACUACCUAACAACAGCCAUUUAAGUGAAUAAUAAUUGGGGUUUGGUAUUUGCUACUGUUAAAACAUGAUUUGCCUUGCUUAGAGCAUCUUAGGACAAAAGAGCCUGAAGGACUCUAGAGGGCAUUGCUUUAAUCCUUUCAUUUUACAGAUGAGAAAUCUGAGGCUUGUGAGGUUAAGUGAAUAAUUUGCCUGAGGACAUACCCAUAAAUUUAAUUUUACUGGACUUGCUAUCUAAAUGCUCUCAGAAAGAAUGGCUUAUGAUGAGCUCUUCUAAAACCACAAUUAUUUUAGUGUUUUGCAACAUGUAGCAGGUUCAUAGCUAAACACCCUCCUGGAAGGUCAAUUCGUUUCGAAGGGUUACAUUAUGAAACGAAUUUCUCCUGAGGCAUUCAUCAGGAAGUUACACGGAAUAAAGUUAGUGACUUUACGAGUGCAUAACUGAAAUAGUUUCAUAACCACAACCUGCAAUUGGUAGCAGAUGCUUUGAAAACUUUCAGGACAAAAUGACCACGGGCUUCAAUGUCUCCUUUUUCCAGGUAUGAACAUACUCUGGACUUUUCUGAGAAAAAUCUUUCUUCAAGUGCUCCUUUUUGCAGAGGGGUAGAGUGACUUUCUAUACAGAGUUCAGUUGAUUAAUUUUUGGUAAGAAUAAUUUCAACUCAUUUUCUAUGUGAUUGGUUCAAGUACAGAGACUUGCACUCCAUAUCCUCAUCAGAGAACUUAAUUUGAAACCUUCAGCUGCCAAACUCUUAUGAAAAGUUUGAUAAGGAGAAAUAUACAUGGAACUUUACCUGAAAGGCUGAUGGCAGCGGCAAUACACUGGCACGGGACGUCGAAUCGGGGCAAGAGCUCUGCCUCCGAGGUCCCUUCUGGAGCCUGGUGCUCGACCUCGUCUGCCGCGCCCCUGCAGACGGUUUGGCCGUUGAGCGGACCCCUGGCUUUGCUCCGUCUGCUGGAGUCAGAGGCGGACUCGCCACCCACGACCAGCGACGGAGCGAGACCUUCCGCGGUCUUCCCUUCGCACGUCUCUCCCGCGACGUGCUGCGCGUUUUCCUAACCGGGUAGGCUUUUUGGAAGAAGGGAGAGGAAGCAGGUACAGACAGCGGGGAAAGGGUAGCAGAGAGGCAGAGGAGAGCAGGGAGGAUGGAGCCCUUUCACGGGGGACACAGACCUAGAAAAGCUCAACGGUGAAGACAGCCCCGUCCUGACUUGAGACGACGGAUCCCGAUUUAACGUGACGUUUAGAUGUAACUAGCAAAACACUCCAUUCCUUGGCAAGCUGCUGUUUUGCAGACUCCAAGUCAGGGCUGAGCAAUGUCUAAGGUGGACCAAACCGAGUCCACAGGGAAGCAGUGCUGAGGGAUAGUCUGCAGUUGACUCUCAGAGACGGUGACACCGAUGUCCGAAAGGGGCGAAAGGGGCGUGUUUCUUCCCACGCAGGUAACGUCACCACGUGGGGGUCACGAAUAGACCUCUGGAGAAACCAGACUGCGGUCAGCAGCUGCGGGGGUUGCUGAAACUCAGCUUUCGCUGUGCUGGGAGUCCCUGUCCUCGAGCUCGGCUCAGUUAGCAAGUCACUGCAAUUCAAGGCAAUGAAUGCGACAGCUGAGUUACAUGCAUAUAUGUGACGAGGUAAUUCUGCCUGAGAAUCCAGAAUAUCUUUGCAGACGGAGCCUUUGACGGGAGGCUUAACAAGGGAGGGUCUUCGAGGAGAGCGGAAGGGAGGAACCUGUGCCCAAAAGAUGAGCAGGCAUCCAAGGGUGUGGUUGUUGGGACGACCUCCUGGCUCAUCUCGGACCACGUCCCCGCCUGGGAACAGGUGCAGAUGCGCGUCCUGAGCCCGAGUGCACCAGGCUUCCGGAAGAGCUGGAGGUGAGAGCAGCUCACCUUCUUUCGCCUCAUCACCAAUUUUCCUUCUCGCAAACAAGCUUCCUGUGUGGGCUUCCUCCCUUCCACCCUCUUAGGUUCUCUUACUACUCACUUAUUGGCUGAAUAAUUCGGAGUUAUAAUCAACAAAUUAGAGGCUAAUUUAAAUGUUUGGCUUCAUCCAAAGUUGA
rnacentral:lncRNA from 1 species